AAACAGGUAAGCUAAACUUUUAAGCUAUUGGGCUCAUAACCCAACAAUGGAGAUAUUCCCUUGUUUA
rnacentral:tRNA from 1 species